rnacentral:rRNA from 1 species
UACGGAGGAUCCAAGCGUUUAUCCGGAAUCAUUGGGUUUUUAAAGGGUCCGUAGGCGGUUUUAGUAAGUCAGUGGUGAAAGCCCAUCGCUCAACGGUGGAACGGCCAUUGAUUACUGCCAGACUUGAAUUAUUAGGAAGUAACUAGAAUAUGUAGUGUAGCGGUGAAAUGCUUUAGAGAUUACAUGGAAUACCAAUUUGCGAAGGCAGGUUACUACUAAUG